GGGAACAUACCCUUUUCUACGGAAUAGCUCUGGGAAACUGGAAUUAAUACCGUAUACGCCCUACGGGGGAAAGAUUUAUCGGGGAAGGAUUGGCCCGCGUUGGAUUAGCUAGUUGGUGGGGUAAAGGCCUACUAAGGCGACGAUCCAUAGCUGGUCUGAGAGGAUGAUCAGCCACAUUGGGACUGAGACACGGCCCAAACUCCUACGGGAGGCAGCAGUGGGGAAUAUUGGACAAUGGGCGCAAGCCUGAUCCAGCCAUGCCGCGUGAGUGAUGAAGGCCUUAGGGUUGUAAAGCUCUUUCACCGAUGAAGAUAAUGACGGUAGUCGGAGAAGAAGCCCCGGCUAACUUCGUGCCAGCAGCCGCGGUAAUACGAAGGGGGCUAGCGUUGUUCGGAAUUACUGGGCGUAAAGCGCGCGUAGGCGGCUAAUUAAGUCAAAUGUGAAAUCCCCGAGCUUAACUUGGGAAUUGCAUUCGAUACUGGUUAGCUAGAGUGUGGGAGAGGAUGGUAGAAUUCCAGGU
rnacentral:rRNA from 1 species